UCCUACGGGAGGCAGCAGUGGGGAAUAUUGCACAAUGGAGGAAACUCUGAUGCAGCGACGCCGCGUGAGUGAUGAAGGCCUUCGGGUUGUAAACCGCUUUUGUCAGGGAAGAAAAGGCUUCUGCUAAUACCGGAGGCUCAUGACGGUACCUGAAGAAUAAGCACCGGCUAACUACGUGCCAGCAGCCGCGGUAAU
rnacentral:rRNA from 1 species